rnacentral:rRNA from 1 species
GACAGAGGCCUCGAGCGUUAGGCGGAAUCACUGGGCUUAAAGCGUGUGUAGGCGGGCCCGUAAGUGUCUUGUGAAAUCCCACGGCUCAACUGUGGAACUGCUGGGCAUACUGCGGGUCUUGGGCCAACUAGGGGCAGCCGGAACAAGCGGUGGAGCGGUGAAAUGCGUAGAGAUCGGAAAGAACACCAACGGCGAAAGCACUCUGCUGGGCCGACACUGACACUGAGAGACGAAAGCUAGGGGAGCGAAUGGG